CACCACACUUGGGAGUGUGUGUCCAGGGGGGGGUCACCCCGAACACCUGGUACAUGUGCAUGUUAAACACCACACUUGGGAGUGUGUGUCCAGGGGGGGUCACCCCGAACACCUGGUACAUGUGCAUGUUAAACACCACACUUGGGAGUGUGUCCAGGGGGGGGGUCACCCCGAACACCUGGUACAUGUGCAUGUUAAACACCACACUUGGGAGUGUAUGUCCAGGGGGGGACAAUGUAGGUGGUCAUUAAGGGUUUGAGUCAGGUCGGAGAGUAUAAGAAAAAAGGAAAAUAAUUGUGUGGAAUGAUGACAGUGAAAAGCAAAGUCAAGAUGAAUAAGCCAGGUUCAGGAAAAGGGAUGACCUAUCUCAAAUGUGUGUGUGUGUGUGUGCACGCACGUCUGUGUGUUGUGUGUGUGUGUGUGUGUGCAUCUGCCUGUGUAUGUAUAACUGUAAACUAUGUGUUUGAGGUCCUAGAUAAUGCCUGAUAAUGCAAUCAGAACCAUGCCUCCGAUUUUUACUAAUAGAACACACAUGUCACGUUAACAGGAACAUUGUCAGUUUUAUAGCAACAUUAUCUGGAUACUGAAGUAGAUAAUAAUUUCCCUGAUAUAUAGACGAUAUUACACAAAUCGCAUGGGUGUCUAAAACAAUGAUAACCGUGACAAUGUUUUAUGUGAAGUGAUGGAUUUUGUGGAAGCCCUGAACCUAAAGCCCUAUCUAUCCCUUGUCCUCUCUCUCCCCGUCUCGUCCUUUCUCUCCCCGUCUCGUCCUCUCUCUCCCUGUCUCGUCCUCUCUCUCUCCGUCUCGUCCUCUCUCUCUCCGUCUCC